rnacentral:rRNA from 1 species
CGGCCAGACUCCUACGGGAGGCAGCAGUGGGGCCUCUUGCACAAUGGGCGCAAGCCUGCUGCCGCCAUGCCGCUUGUCUGAAGAAGGCCUUCGGGUUGUACCGUCCUUUCAGCGGGGCGGCAGGCGAUCCGGUUCAUAACCUUGUCGCUUGACGUUACCCGCCGAAGAAGCACCGGCUAACUCCGUGCCCGCAGCCGCGGUCCUCCGGAGGGUGCCAGCGUUAAUCGGGAUUACUGGGCGUAAAGCGCACGCAGGCGUUCUGUCAAGGCGGAUGUGAAAGCCCCGGGCUCAACCGGGGAACUGCAUUCGAAACUGGCAGGCUAGAGUCGGGGAGAGGGGGGGAGAAGGCCAGGUGGAGCGGGGAAAUGCGGAGAGAUCUGGAGGAAGACCGGUGGCGAAGGAGGCCCCCUGGACAAAGACUGACGCGCAGGGGCGAAAGCGGGGGGAGCAAACAGGAGGAGAUACCCGAGUAUUA